rnacentral:lncRNA from 1 species
UCAAAGCAAAUGCACCUGUGACAUUGUAUGUGGAAAAUGAGUACCAACUCAUUAUUCAAAUCAAUAAUUUCUUUUUAGAUAACUAGUAAAAAUAUUUAUAAUUGAACUUAUUUAUUUUCGUUGGUUUCUUUUAUGUAUCUCUUUGUAUCAAAUUAUUCUGUUUUUCUCUAGAUUGGUCGGACUAAAUAAUUAAACUCAACUCGAUUGGUCA